AGCGAACGCUGGCGGCAGGCCUAACACAUGCAAGUCGAACGAAGUCUUCGGACUUAGUGGCGGACGGGUGAGUAACACGUGGGAACGUGCCUUUAGGUUCGGAAUAACUCAGGGAAACUUUUGCUAAUACCGAAUGUGCCCUUCGGGGGAAAGAUUUAUCGCCUUUAGAGCGGCCCGCGUCUGAUUAGCUAGUUGGUGAGGUAAAGGCGCACCAAGGCGACGAUCAGUAGCUGGUCUGAGAGGAUGAUCAGCCACAUUGGGACUGAGACACGGCCCAAACUCCUACGGGAGGCAGCAGUGGGGAAUCUUGCGCAGUGGGCGAAAGCCUGACGCAGCCAUGCCGCGUGAAUGAUGAAGGUCUUAGGAUUGUAAAAUUCUUUCACCGGGGACGAUAAUGACGGUACCCGGAGAAGAAGCCCCGGCUAACUUCGUGCCAGCAGCCGCCGUAA
rnacentral:rRNA from 1 species